rnacentral:rRNA from 1 species
AUUGAACGCUGGCGGCAGGCCUAACACAUGCAAGUCGAACGGUAGCACAGAGAGCUUGCUCUCGGGUGACGAGUGGCGGACGGGCGAGUAACGUCUGGGAAACUGCCCGAUGGAGGGGGAUAACUACUGGAAACGGUAGCUAAUACCGCAUAACGUCGCAAGACCAAAGUGGGGGACCUUCGGGCCUCACACCAUCGGAUGUGCCCAGAUGGGAUUAGCUAGUUGGUAGGGUAAAGGCCUACCAAGGCGACGAUCCAUAACUGGUCUGAGAGGAUGAUCAGUCACACCGGAACUGAGACACGGUCCGGACUCCUACGGGAGGCAGCAGUGGGGAAUAUUGGACAAUGGGGGCAACCCUGAUCCAGCCAUGCCGCGUGUGUGAAGAAGGCCUUCGGGUUGUAAAGCACUUUAAGUGGGGAGAAAGGUUCGGCAGCUAAUACCUGCCGGAAGUGAUGUUACCCACAGAAUAAGCACCGGCUAACUCUGUGCCAGCCGCCGCAGUAA